UUCCCAUUUAUUUGUAUUGUAGUCCUGUAAUAUUAUGUUGUCAUUUCUAUGUUAUAUUUAACAUUGCCAUUAAAGUGCGAGGUUUGGCAUGCCACAAAACCAGGUUCAACCCACCAUGUUUUUCCUUUAAAAAUGUCCUGUACCAAGUCAGGAAUAUGGUCAUUGUUAUAUUAUAGUUCGUUUCUGUGUGUGUUACAAUUUAACGUUGCGUCGUUUGUUUUCUCUUAUUUUUUUAGUGUAAAUUGACAUUGCGAUAAGACGUGUCACGGUACUUGUCUAUCCCAAAUUCAUGUAUUUGGUUUUGAUGUUAUAUUUGUUAUUCUCGUGGGAUUUUGUCUGAUGCUUGGUCCGUUUCUGUGUGUGUUAGUUACAUUGUAGUGGUGUGUCGUUGUUCUCUUAUAUUUAUGCGUUUCCCUCAAUUUUAGAUUGUUACCCCGAUUUUGUUUUUUGUCCAUGGAUUUAUGAGUUUGAACAGCGGUAUACUACUGUUGCCUUUAUUUAA
rnacentral:lncRNA from 1 species